rnacentral:rRNA from 1 species
UACGAAGGGGGCUAGCGUUGUUCGGAAUCACUGGGCGUAAAGCGCACGUAGGCGGAUUGUUAAGUCGGGGGUGAAAUCCUGAGGCUCAACCUCAGAACUGCCUCCGAUACUGGCGGUCUGGAGUCCGGGAGAGGUGAGUGGAACUGCGAGUGUAGAGGUGAAAUUCGUAGAUAUUCGCAAGAACACCAGUGGCGAAGGCGGCUCACUGGCCCGGUACUGACGCUGAGGUGCGAAAGCGUGGGGAGCAAACAGG